GCUUACGGCCAUACCAACCUGAAAGCGCCUGAUCUCGUCAGAUCUCGGAAGCUAAGCAGGGUCGGGCCUGGUUAGUACUUGGAUGGGAGACUUCCUGGGAAUACCAGGAGCUGUAAGCA
rnacentral:rRNA from 1 species